rnacentral:lncRNA from 1 species
AAGAGAUAACCCAGCCCUGCGAUGCCUUGCCAGCCUGUCCCACACCCUUUACCUUCCAUCCUUCCUUCUUUCCCUCUCCUGGUGGAGACACAGCAUUCUCCCACCCCUGGCCCUGGCUCCUCUGGCACUCAGCCACCAUUCUGCAGCAGGUCUGACCGGGUCUGAUGUCUGCCAGAGACUGUUCUUCAUCAGCCGGGCCCUGGAGGUAAGAGCAGUGACUGAGAAAGGCUUCUCCCAAGUAAAAUAUGACUUAUUCAUAGAACAGAGCACUUGGGGAGAAAAAUGCUAAUGUGAGAUGAGCUGAUGUCUCACCAGAAAGGUCUACAGGCCUAACUCUUCCUUGGACCCUGCUCUGUGGAUGGAAAUACCCCUGAAGACUUCACUUUUCUUAGCUUCAGAGCAGAGAUCUUCUCUAUAACAAGGCAAUGCCUCUGUUUUGUGUGUUUGGGAGCUCCUUUUGCCAAGCUCGUCUGGUGAAGAAACUAAUGGACACUGGAAACAUUCCUGUGACUGCCCUGCUUCAUGUACAGCAUGCUGCACAUCAGCACAAGAGGAGUCCCUGCUGCUAAAAUUGAACUCUCUUUCUCAACAGCCUCAUUCACCAGGACACUGAGCUGGCAAAUCAGAUGCACACAACUUUCCAGGCUGUGCUGCGUCCAAGCUCUGCCUUCUUACAGCACAGGCUCUCCUCCUGAAGUUCUCUGCAGAUCUCCUAGUGUGUAGAUAUUAUGGGCUAGAUUCUCUUGGGAACAGUGGAGGAAUGAACUACAGAAGAAUAAUUUGGAGAUAUCAGACUCUACGACUUCUCUGUGGUCUCUGAACAAAGGCUAGGUGAGGAUGCAUAGAUUACUUUAAAACGCAUCAACUAUUAACAUGUAACAAGGCAUUGAGAAUUGUUUCAGUUCAAGAGCUGCAGCUGCUAAUUGGUAACAACCACUUUGUCAAUCCUACACCAGACAGGUAUUCUGCUGUGUUUGACAAUGCCAUGAUUCCUGACAGCACGCAGCAUCCAGAUAAGCUAGCUGUGUUCGUUUCUGUGUGAAUAAAAUGUGUUAUUAUUUUCCCUUAAUUCUACA